GCGAUUUCUGUUGAAGGCACUGGAAAAACCAUUCAAACAGACUACAUCUUAAAGAUUCUUGGUCUUGAUAUUUGUGCUGAUUCAAUGGUUGGAGAUGCCAUGAGAAGAGGUAUUUCAGGUGGUCAAAAGAAGAGACUGACUACAGGGGAAAUGAUUGUGGGUCCAAUAAAAGCUCUUUUUAUGGAUGAAAUAUCAAAUGGCCUGGACAGUUCUACAA